CUCAGGCGAUCUGCCCACCUUGGCCUCUCAAAGUGCUGGGAUUACAUGUGUGAGCCCCUGCACCUGGCCUACCCAUUCUGUCUUAAGCCAGAUGGACUUUGGAGGGGCAGGUGGUGGGGACCCAGGCUGUGAUUCUCACUAUAGGGCACUGUUUACUCUCAGGAAUUUCUUCUUCUUACGGUUGAUAUAAAGCAAAACUCUACAGGUGACUUGAUUUUUAAACCCAAAUUUUAGUGCUUUGGGAAAAAAAUAGCAUUUUGGGUUUGGUGCUCCGUUUAGAGCUCUUUCUUGUGGUCAUGAAUGGAGUGGGAACAGAAGACACUGAUACUAUAAGUUGGCUAGCAUGUAUUCUCUGAGGGUUUACUGAGUGCAAGGCACUGAGGGUACAGAGACGAAUCUGAUGUGAUUGUUGCCCUCAGAGCCUCACAGCCUAGUAGGGUAAAUGCUUAGAGAUGGGCCACCAUACCC